rnacentral:rRNA from 1 species
GGAUGGUCCCCCACACUGGUACUGAGACACGGACCAGACUCCUACGGGAGGCAGCAGUGAGGAAUAUUGGUCAAUGGACGCAAGUCUGAACCAGCCAUGCCGCGUGCAGGAUUGAAUGCCCUAUGGGUUGUAAACUGCUUUUCUGUACCAAGAAACGUACUUACGUGUAAGCAUUUGACGGUAGUACAGGAAUAAGCAUCGGCUAACUCCGUGCCAGCAGCCGCGGUAAUACGGAGGAUGCAAGCGUUAUCCGGACUCAUUAGGUUUAAAGGGUGCGCAGGCGGAAUAAUAAGUCAGUGGUGAAAUCUUGCCGCUUAACGGUGAAACUGCCAUUGAAACUGUUAUUCUUGAGUGUAGUUGAGGUAGGCGGAAUGUGUAGUGUAGCGGUGAAAUGCUUAGAUAUUACACUGAACACCUAUUGCGAAGGCAGCUUACUAAACUACUACUGACGUUGAGGCACGAAAGCGUGGGGAGCGAACAGGAUUAGAUACCCUGGUAGUCCACGCUGUAAACUAUGAUCACUCGUUGUUCGCGAUACAUUGUGAGCGACCAAGCGAAAGCAUUAAGUGAUCCACCUGGGGAUUACGUCGGCAACGAUGAAACUCAAAGGAAUUGACGGGGGCCCGCACAAGCGGAGGAACAUGUGGUUUAAUUCGAUGAUACGCGAGGAACCUUACCUGGGCUUAAAUGCAGAACGAUAUAUCGGGAAACUGGUGUUCCCUUCGGGGCGGACUGCAAGGUGCUGCAUGGUUGUCGUCAGCUCGUGCCGUGAGGUGUCGGGUUAAGUCCCAUAACGAGCGCAACCCUUAUUGUUAGUUGCCAGCGGGUAAUGCCGGGGACUCUAACGGAACUGCCAUCGUAAGGUGGAGGAAGGUGGGGAUGACGUCAAAUCAGCACGGCCCUUAUGUCCAGGGCUACACACGUGUUACAAUGGCCAGUACAAAGGGCAGCUACCUGGAGACAGGAUGCUAAUCUCGAAAACUGGUCUCAGUUCGGAUCGUAGUCUGCAAUUCGACUACGUGAAGUUGGAUUCGCUAGUAAUCGCGCAUCAGCCAUGGCGCGGUGAAUACGUUCCCGGGCCUUGUACACACCGCCCGUCAAGCCAUGGAAGCCGGGAGUGCCUGAAGUCCGUAACCGUAAGGAGCGGCCU